rnacentral:rRNA from 1 species
CACACGACCGUACCGCAAACCGACACUGGUGCGCGAGAUGAGUAUUCUAAGGCGCUUGAGAGAACUCAGGAGAAGGAACUCGGCAAAUUGACACCGUAACUUCGGAAGAAGGUGUGCCUUUAGUAGGUGAAGUCCCUCGCGGAUGGAGCCCAAUGAGGUUGCAAAAAAUCGGUGGCUGCGACUGUUUAUUAAAAACACAGCACUCUGCAAACACGAAAGUGGACGUAUAGGGUGUGACGCCUGCCCGGUGCUGGAAGAUUAAAUGAUGGGGUGCAAGCUCUUGAUUGAAGUCCCAGUAAACGGCGGCCGUAACAAUAACGGUCCUAAGGUAGCGAAAUUCCUUGUCGGGUAAGUUCCGACCUGCACGAAUGGCGUAACGAUGGCCACACUGUCUCCUCCUGAGACUCAGCGAAGUUGAAAUGUUUGUGAUGAUGCAAUCUCCCCGCGGAAAGACGGAAAGACACCAUGAACCUUUACUGUAGCUUUGUAUUGGACUUUGAACAGAUCUGUGUAGGAUAGGUGGGAGGCUUUGAAGCAGGGUCGCUAGAUCUUGUGGAGCCAACGUUGAAAUACCACCCUGGUGUGUUUGAGGUUCUAACCUAGGCCCGUAAUCCGGGUUGGGGACAGUGCAUGGUAGGCAGUUUGACUGGGGCGGUCUCCUCCCAAAGUGUAACGGAGGAGUUCGAAGGUACGCUAGUUACGGUCGGACAUCGUGACGAUAGUGCAAUGGCAUAAGCGUGCUUAACUGCGAGACUGACAAGUCAAGCAGAUGCGAAAGCAGGACAUAGUGAUCCGGUGGUUCUGUAUGGAAGGGCCAUCGCUCAACGGAUAAAAGGUACUCUGGGGAUAACAGGCUGAUACCGCCCAAGAGUUCAUAUCGACGGCGGUGUUUGGCACCUCGAUGUCGGCUCAUCUCAUCCUGGGGCUGUAGCCGGUCCCAAGGGUAUGGCUGUUCGCCAUUUAAAGAGGUACGUGAGCUGGGUUUAAAACGUCGUGAGACAGUUUGGUCCCUAUCUUCCGUGGGCGCUGCAGAUUUGAGGAAGCCUGCUCCUAGUACGAGAGGACCGGAGUGGACGCACCUCUGGUGUAUCGGUUGUCACGCCAGUGGCAUUGCCGAGUAGCUAUGUGCGGAAGAGAUAACCGCUGAAAGCAUCUAAGCGGGAAACUCGUUUCAAGAUGAGAUCUGCCGGGGCCUUGAGCCCCCUGAAGAGUCGUUCAAGACCAGGACGUUGAUAGGUCGGGUGUGGAAGCGCAGUAAUGCGUUAAGCUAACCGAUACUAAUUGCUCGUGCGGCUUGACCCC